GAUGAACGCUGGCGGCGUGCCUAAUACAUGCAAGUCGAGCGAACGGACGAGAAGCUUGCUCCUCUGACGUUAGCGGCGGACGGGUGAGUAACACGUGGAUAACCUACCUAUAAGACUGGGAUAACUUCGGGAAACCGGAGCUAAUACCGGAUGAUAUAUUGAACCGCAUGGUUCAAAAGUGAAAGACGGUCUUGCUGUCACUUAUAGAUGGAUCCGCGCCGCAUUAGCUAGUUGGUAAGGUAACGGCUUACCAAGGCAACGAUGCAUAGCCGACCUGAGAGGGUGAUCGGCCACACUGGAACUGAGACACGGUCCAGACUCCUACGGGAGGCAGCAGUAGGGAAUCUUCCGCAAUGGGCGAAAGCCUGACGGAGCAACGCCGCGUGAGUGAUGAAGGUCUUCGGAUCGUAAAACUCUGUUAUUAGGGAAGAACAAAUGUGUAAGUAACUAUGCACGUCUUGACGGUACCUAAUCAGAAAGCCACGGCUAACUACGUG
rnacentral:rRNA from 1 species